UACGUAGGGGGCGAGCGUUGUCCGGAUUUAUUGGGCGUAAAGAGCUCGUAGGCGGCUUGGCAAGUCGGGUGUGAAACCUCCAGGCUCAACCUGGAGACGCCACUCGAUACUGCUAUGGCUAGAGUCCGGUAGGGGACCACGGAAUUCCUGGUGUAGCGGUGAAAUGCGCAGAUAUCAGGAGGAACACCGGUGGCGAAGGCGGUGUCUGGGCCGGCACUGACGCUGAGGAGCGAAAGCGUGGGUAGCAAACAGG
rnacentral:rRNA from 1 species